UGGGGAAUUUUGGACAAUGGGCGAAAGCCUGAUCCAGCAAUGCCGCGUGUGUGAAGAAGGCCUUCGGGUUGUAAAGCACUUUUGUCCGGAAAGAAAUCCUUGGCUCUAAUACAGUCGGGGGAUGACGGUACCGGAAGAAUAAGCACCGGCUAACUACGUGCCAGCAGCCGCGGUAAUACGUAGGGUGCAAGCGUUAAUCGGAAUUACUGGGCGUAAAGCGUGCGCAGGCGGUUUGCUAAGACCGAUGUGAAAUCCCCGGGCUCAACCUGGGAACUGCAUUGGUGACUGGGCAGGCUAGAGUAUGGCAGAGGGGGGUUAGAAUUCCACGUGUAGCAGUGAAAUGCGUAGAGAUGUGGAGGAAUACCGAUGGCGAAGGCAGCCCCCUGGGCCAAUACUGACGCUCAUGCACGAAAGCGUGGGGAGCAAACAGGA
rnacentral:rRNA from 1 species